rnacentral:rRNA from 1 species
CCUACGGGAGGCAGCAGUUAGGAAUAUUGGUCAAUGGGCGCGAGCCUGAACCAGCCAAGUCGCGUUAGGGAUGAAGGGUCUAUGGAUCGUAAACCUCUUUUAUAAGGGAAUAAAGUGUGGGACGUGUCCUAUUUUGUAUGUACCGUAUGAAUAAGGAUCGUCUAACUCCGGGCCAGCAGCCGCGGUAAUACGGAGGAUCCGAGCGUUAUCCGGAUUUAUUGGGUUUAAAGGGUGCGUCAGCCGCCUUUUAAGUCAGCGGUGAAAGUCUGUGGCUCAACCAUAGAAUUGCCGUUGAAACUGGGGGGCUUGAGUAUGUUUGAGGCAGGCGGAAUGCGUGGUGUAGCGGUGAAAUGCUUAGAUAUCACGCAGAACCCCGAUUGCGAAGGCAGCCUGCCAAGCCAUGACUGACGCUGAUGCACGAAAGCGUGGGGAUCAAACAGGAUUAGAUACCCUAGUAGUC